CAUUAAAGAGCCAUAAGCCUGUACAUAAGGGACCUCUCCCCAUUUUCCUUCUUUUUUACAGAAUAAAACCAAUUGUAAAAUACAAUUUUGAUGAAAAGAGCCAUUUUAUGCCAAAUUUCUUGGUCUUCCAAUUUGUAGGGGACCCAAGCAGUGUUGGAAUAUAAAAUGAGCGCCUCCUUCUUUAAGCCAUAUUUGAAUUUGCUCCAGUUGCCGAAAAGCAACCUAGUGGCAAGCCCUCGGGAAUGCUCACCACUUCCUUGUAUCUAGCAAGGAUCUUCACCAGUUACAGAAGUUUUUCUAAGUCCAGGAAGGGAAAAAGCAAUUAGGUUCUUACUAUUUUUCCAUUUAGAUUUUUACCUCAUGCAGAGAUCUAAGUAUAGGUCUCAGAGCAUGAAAGUGGAUUGUGAGAUACAAGCAGGCAGUAGAGUACAUGCCAGCAAGUGAAAUACACACAAAAGAAGUAUUUUUACAAAGCAAGCAUGAAAGGAAAAGUGAAAAUAGAGUGACAGAACUUUAGGGCAGAAAACAAAAAGGUAAGACCAGAUUCUCCUAGAGUGGGUUUGUAUCUUACCUACAGUCCUAGCAAGGAUGCCACUGCCAAAAACCACAGAGCAUCCAGGGGAUGGCCAACAAUACCAAGUACUGAAAACACCAGAGUCUGAUUUGCCAAUGAGUGUCCCCACUCCACAUGCUGAAAACCCUGGAGUAUCCAGGGUCCAGCCAAUGUCAAAAACCUGAAGCAUUGAGGGUCGGCCAAUGGUGAACUCCAAAUGCCUGGCUGGGGCCACAGAACAACAUGAUUGGUGUUGCAGAGUCAACACGAUGGGGAAACUCCCACAAUCAAGUGUCCUGUCUUAAGUAACUGCCUAAAUACAGUUAGCAGGGAGCUAAAGCAAAAUCCCUGAAAAACAAAACAUACAUUUCAGAAUGGAAAGUAAAAUUGGGCCAUGAAGAUAUGAUAUGGUGUUAGUGGAGAAAGGACUGAGAGAAGAGGCACCAAAAAUCUUGGGUAAGUUUGGCUACCUCAGGGGACCAGCAUGCAGUGUUGUGACCAACAAGCUGGAGCAGUGGAUCUCACAUGAGGCAAUGCUGUGGCUGCUCACCCUUCUGCUUAGCUCCACUGCCUUUCAGGAAACAUGAUGGUUCUUAAAAGAGCCUUUGAUGGCCAGGUGCAGUGGCUCAUGCCUGUAAUCCUAGCACUUUGGGAG
rnacentral:lncRNA from 13 species